rnacentral:rRNA from 1 species
AUUAGAGUUUGAUCCUGGCUCAGGACGAACGCUGGCGGCGUGCCUAAUACAUGCAAGUCGAGCGGACAGAUGGGAGCUUGCUCCCUGAUGUUAGCGGCGGACGGGUGAGUAACACGUGGGUAACCUGCCUGUAAGACUGGGAUAACUCCGGGAAACCGGGGCUAAUACCGGAUGGUUGUUUGAACCGCAUGGUUCAAACAUAAAAGGUGGCUUCGGCUACCACUUACAGAUGGACCCGCGGCGCAUUAGCUAGUUGGUGAGGUAACGGCUCACCAAGGCGACGAUGCGUAGCCGACCUGAGAGGGUGAUCGGCCACACUGGGACUGAGACACGGCCCAGACUUCUACGGGAGGCAGCAGUAGGGAAUCUUCCGCAAUGGACGAAAGUCUGACGGAGCAACGCCGCGUGAGUGAUGAAGGUUUUCGGAUCGUAAAGCUCUGUUGUUAGGGAAGAACAAGUACCGUUCGAAUAGGGCGGUACCUUGACGGUACCUAACCAGAAAGCCACGGCUAACUACGUGCCAGCAGCCGCGGUAAUACGUAGGUGGCAAGCGUUGUCCGGAAUUAUUGGGCGUAAAGGGCUCGCAGGCGGUUUCUUAAGUCUGAUGUGAAAGCCCCCGGCUCAACCGGGGAGGGUCAUUGGAAACUGGGGAACUUGAGUGCAGAAGAGGAGAGUGGAAUUCCACGUGUAGCGGUGAAAUGCGUAGAGAUGUGGAGGAACACCAGUGGCGAAGGCGACUCUCUGGUCUGUAACUGACGCUGAGGAGCGAAAGCGUGGGGAGCGAACAGGAUUAGAUACCCUGGUAGUCCACGCCGUAAACGAUGAGUGCUAAGUGUUAGGGGGUUUCCGCCCCUUAGUGCUGCAGCUAACGCAUUAAGCACUCCGCCUGGGGAGUACGGUCGCAAGACUGAAACUCAAAGGAAUUGACGGGGGCCCGCACAAGCGGUGGAGCAUGUGGUUUAAUUCGAAGCAACGCGAAGAACCUUACCAGGUCUUGACAUCCUCUGACAAUCCUAGAGAUAGGACGUCCCCUUCGGGGGCAGAGUGACAGGUGGUGCAUGGUUGUCGUCAGCUCGUGUCGUGAGAUGUUGGGUUAAGUCCCGCAACGAGCGCAACCCUUGAUCUUAGUUGCCAGCAUUCAGUUGGGCACUCUAAGGUGACUGCCGGUGACAAACCGGAGGAAGGUGGGGAUGACGUCAAAUCAUCAUGCCCCUUAUGACCUGGGCUACACACGUGCUACAAUGGACAGAACAAAGGGCAGCGAAACCGCGAGGUUAAGCCAAUCCCACAAAUCUGUUCUCAGUUCGGAUCGCAGUCUGCAACUCGACUGCGUGAAGCUGGAAUCGCUAGUAAUCGCGGAUCAGCAUGCCGCGGUGAAUACGUUCCCGGGCCUUGUACACACCGCCCGUCACACCACGAGAGUUUGUAACACCCGAAGUCGGUGAGGUAACCUUUUAGGAGCCAGCCGCCGAAGGUGGGACAGAUGAUUGGGGUGAAGUCGUAACAAGGUAGCCGUAAU